rnacentral:tRNA from 1 species
GCCUUCGUGGUGUAAUGGUCAGCACACUUGGCGCGUAUUCGAGAGGUCCAGGUUCGAGUCCCGGCGAGGGCA